rnacentral:rRNA from 1 species
UACAGAGGGGGCAAGCGUUGUUCGGAAUCACUGGGCGUAAAGGGUGCGUAGGCGGGUCUUUAAGUCAGGGGUGAAAUCCUGGAGCUCAACUCCAGAACUGCCUUUGAUACUGAGGAUCUUGAGUACGGGAGAGGUGAGUGGAACUGCGAGUGUAGAGGUGAAAUUCGUAGAUAUUCGCAAGAACACCAGUGGCGAAGGCGGCUCACUGGCCCGUAACUGACGCUGAGGCACGAAAGCGUGGGGAGCAAACAGG